rnacentral:rRNA from 1 species
GAAGAACGCUAGCUACAGGCUUAACACAUGCAAGUCGAGGGGAAACGACAUCGAAAGCUUGCUUUUGAUGGGCGUCGACCGGCGCACGGGUGAGUAACGCGUAUCCAACCUGCCCACCACUUGGGGAUAACCUUGCGAAAGUAAGACUAAUACCCAAUGACGUCUCUAGAAGACAUCUGAAAGAGAUUAAAGAUUUAUCGGUGAUGGAAGGGGAUGCGUCUGAUUAGCUUGUUGGCGGGGUAACGGCCCACCAAGGCGAGGAUCAGUAGGGGUUCUGAGAGGAAGGUCCCCCACAUUGGAACUGAGACACGGUCCAAACUCCUACGGGGGGCAGCAGUGAGGAAUAUUGGUCAAUGGACGAGAGUCUGAACCAGCCAAGUAGCGUGCAGGAUGACGGCCCUAUGGGUUGUAAACUGCUUUUAUAAGGGAAUAAAGUGAGUCUCGUGAGACUUUUUGCAUGUACCUUAUGAAUAAGGACCGGCUAAUUCCGUGCCAGCAGCCGCCGUAA